UGGGCCGUCGCCAAGCGGUAAGGCAACGGGUUUUGAUCCCGUCAUGCGCAGGUUCGAUCCCUGCCGGCCCAGCCA
rnacentral:tRNA from 1 species